UUGUGAUUGGACGAUGACUGCCACAUGUCAUGUUCUGAUUGGAUGUUGACUCUAUGGACGAUGAAAAUGUAUUGUUGUUGUCAACAUCCAAUCAGAAUAUGACACAUGACAGUCAUCAUCC
rfam:Glycine soja cultivar W05 scaffold7250_4, whole genome shotgun sequence.